rnacentral:rRNA from 1 species
UAACACCUGCGUCACGAGUGGCAAUCACGUUUAUUGGGCCUAAAGCGUUCGUAGCCGGAUUAAUCAGUCUUGGGUGAAAUCGUUGCGCUUAACAAAACGACGUGCUUGAGAUACUGUUAGUCUAGAGACCGGGAGGCGUUAGAAGUAUUCCAGGGGGAGCGGUAAAAUGUUAUAAUCCCUGGAGGACUACCUGUGGCGAAGGCGUCUAACGAGAACGGGUCUGACGGUCAGGAACGAAAGCUAGGGGAGCAAACCGGAUUAGAUACCCGAGUAGCCCUAGCCGUAAACGCUGUGUACUAGAUGUUGCAUAAUCUAUAAGGUUGUGCAGUGUCGGAGCGAAGGCGUUAAGUACACCGCCUGGGAAGUACGGUCGCAAGGCUG